AUGCUCUCAGCACAUAUACUAAAAAAUUAGAAUGAUAUAGAGAAGAUUAGCAUGGCCCCUGGGCAAGGAUGACAUGCAAAUCUGUGAAGUGUUCCAUUUUUAU
ensembl:snRNA U6 U6 spliceosomal RNA